CCCCAUUCCCCAAACAGAUAUCGCUCGGUACGUCCCUGAUAUUAAUUUCUUAAGUACGAUUUAAGUUACUUUAGUAACCCAUAAAAAUUCAACUAUUGAAUCAAAAUUUGAUAGAUGGUCUCAAAACUUUCUUAAGGUUUCUUUUGGCUGUCUUUUAAAAAAGGUUGUUGCAGUCGGUUGUGAGCAUGGUCCACAUUUUACUCUGCCGAAAUUAUCAUUUUAUCUCUUCCAUCUUUAAUUCCUUAAGAGUAUGUUAUGUGAAGAAAGUGUUGACACAGUGCGGUCCAUGCUUGUAAUUUUCCUCUCAAAAAUAUUUCAGAUUGCACGGAUUUGCUAAAUACGUCGUACUCGGUGCAC